rnacentral:lncRNA from 1 species
CGGUCCAGGCGUGCACCCAGGAGAUCUCCUUCGCUGGGUCGGAACCCUCCACUAGGACGACGGGGCCCACGGAGCAAACAGACUGAGGGCGGAAGACAAACGACUCGUCGUUUUUUUCGCCGGUGAGCAUGCGCAUCAAGAACUGGUGUGUCGGCGGACCAUGGAACCACCACUCGAGGUCGGCGGCGACGAUGGUGUGGACGGUGGCCACGUCACGGGAGCUCAAGGCGUCAUAGAGGGUCAGGACCAGCCGGUGAUUGCUGGAGUCGGAAUCGGAGUCGGGUUCUUGAGAUAACGCCAGUUCUAGCCUAAGCCCACGAGGCGGGUACAGAAAUCGAGGUGGGUUUGGAGAUGAAUGUGAAUGUGAAGCGAACAAGGAGAAGAGAGAGCUUGGGGUUUUUGUGUUGCAGGAUGAGGGUGGAUUUUAUAGCCAGGUAGAUGGGUGAUGAGGACGAUGGGCUUGGAAUCUCUACGGCCGUAUUUACGUUUUUGUCGAUCUUGCCGACCAAUGGGAAUGGUGGGAAUUGGUGGGGGUGACGUGGCGUGUUGUGAGUUGUGGUGUUGUGGUGGGGGGUGGCGUGUGGGAUUAUGAGCGCGUGCGAGGAAGGUGGAAGUGUGGGGGGACACGGAGAGUGAGGGAGUCAAGCCAACUUUAUUUGACCUAGUCGACCCCACAUUUCACACCUAAUUAACUGUGAUUAGUGGGUUAAUGAUUUUGGGCUUUAUUUGGAUUUAGUCUAAUUCCUUUACGCUAAUGGCUUCGUCGUCAGUAGCCACUCCUUUUUGGCCGGUGGUGGUCAGUAGCCUUUAACCGCCUCAAAAUCGAUUUUCGACUUUAAAACUUCUUUACAGCAGCAAUGUUAUCCGGUUACUAACUAACUACGAGAUUUAUGGUCAAUCCCGAUAGGUUUGUGUCAGUCAAAUUAGAGAUUAGAGUCAGAGAAUCUUAUCUAAUAGACUUAAAAUCGAUUUGGAAUCGAUUAUUAUGGUAAACUCUCUAUAUACGGGCAAAUUAGAGACUGAGUCAAAUUAUGUCACUAACUGAUCAAGAGAUUUAUGUUCAAUUCAAUCAUAAUAUGUAUGUAUCGGUCAAAUUAGAAUUGGGUUUGAUUUCUGUUCAUUUUCUAUUUUCUUCAUUUUCUCUAUGUACAAUGGUUUUGUUUGUAAGGAGUAAAGACCGUAUCAUAUCGUGACUGAUAUUAAUCUUGAUGGAAUUGGUAAUUUCUAAUUAAGAUGGAGAACUUGAAAAUCUUUUUAGAGGACACUACUGGAGAUCUUUCUAGGGUUUCAAAGGGGGCUAUACUCUUUUUCUCAAAGAGUAGGUGGAAAUUUAAUAAACUAUAGUCCUCGAUCACAAUCCUUGCAAUUACCUUUACUUAAACCAGACAUUGAGUAAAGAGAUGAUAUUUGAUAUCAAAUUACUAAAAACAGGUGGUUAAUUGAAAACUGAAACCGAGCGAUCGGUUUCGACUUUACGAAAGUAGCUAGGACUGUAGGAGGAAGAGCCCCUUAUGGAAACGAAGCAAGGAAUAAACCUUGUUUACGUGAAAGCGAGGCUUUGAAAAGUGGAACUUGAUGGAACCCCAUUCAUGGCAAUCCUGAUCAUGGUCCACAAAGUAGUGGCGUCAUGGACAAAUUGAACUAUAUUGGAAGGAAGCUAUUCCCUCCUUCCCUUUUUCCAGUAGGUAGUUGCAUUUUUGGUCUGAACCAGUAGGUAGUUGCUGAUAUGGACUAUCUAGUCACAGUAAUAACAAAGUGCCUUUCUUCACAGUUGAAAACCAAACCCAUGAUGAUUCUCCAUUGAUGGAUUCAAAGCUAGCUGCUUUGAUGUCACUGAACCAAAUCUGGGUGGCGUAUUUAUGAACAUGGAGUGUAGCAGUAGUCUUUAUAUGUAAUUUGUUGUAACCUCGCUUUUCAUCUAUCAUUACAAUUAAGCACAAUGUAACCUCAAAACAUUGACUCGCUGGGAGUUUGCAGCACAGCAAAGCACUUAUGUUUGCACAUUGGACUAUCAAAAUAGGGUUGCUAUCGGGGGAGUAAGCAAAGACAAAUCGAUUUUGUUUUCUUCAUAGCAAGAGGGUAGAAAAAGCUCAUAUACAGUACAAAAAUGCUAGACUGGACUCACACAAUCUGAUGUGUAACUCACUCAUUCUGUACCAUGCGAUCCUAAUCAGACAGCAAGAGUAGCUCAUGGUUAACCACCAAACAAUGAGUACUGGAGUUUCAUGACUGUCCCUGUACUCACUCUCUCGUCACUUUGAAAAGAACAGGUUUAGGUCUAGGUUAAAAUGUGCAAAGUUAAUUAGGUCAUGCAUAUUGAUUUUCAUGAUUUCCUUCAUCCCCAUAAUGGACAUAUAUGCCAUGUCUUAUCCCACUCCCACUGUCUCUAAUAUUGUCUUAUCCCACUCCCACUGUCUCUAAUAUUUUCCAAAGUGUCAUGGUAAGUGAUAUGGACUGGCACUAGUUGUGCAAUUAUAUACCAAAGUGCACCGAGAUAUUAGCCAUGCCACUCUCCCUGGAAUAGCAUCAUUUUGGAGAUGCUUAUGAUAAUAUGGAUCCAAAAUAGGGCAAAUUGCCAUUGACCCUUGUAAAUAGGUUUGGUCUUGGUCAGUUUAGUGAUUCAUUAGGGGUGAGUAGAAAGACCGGAGUUUGAAUCUUUUUUUUUUUUUUUGGUACAGACCAGAGUUUGAAUCUCUCCUUGCACUAGCAGCAAUCUUAUUCCUCCAAUUUGUUUCUCCAAUUCUAUACUAUUCCGAUCGACGUGUUCACGUAUAUAGGUUUUAUGUUAACGGUAACACAAGCAUAUAUAAGGUAUCAGAUCGGCAUUUAACGUCAAUUGUUGUAAUGUAGAUGAUAAUGCUAAUGGGAUCCGGAAAUUUUUCUUAUGGUCCUCUCCUCAUUUUGCCUCAUGGGACUAAUGCUGCUGAUGAUAUAAGCUUUUACUAGUUCCUAUUGUCAACUUGUGCAUAUUGCAAACUCAAGUGCAAUAUGCAAGAAAAAAGAAAUGCAUAGUAUAGAAAAGAAAAAAGGUUUGAACUCAAGUGCAGGUUAAAUACGAAUCGAGUCCUUAAAAUUAAGCUAAUUAGGAGCUUAAGAUAAUAGGACUACUUAGUGAAACUGUGAGAGGUGAAAAGAAUAAAGAUCCCAUGCCAAACAACAAAUUACCAUAAAAGAAGAAAUGAAUUACAUGCCAAAGGAAUAAAAUGAAACUAUAAAUUAGAGAGUUACAGACGAAGAAAUGACUUCGUAUAUAGGGAAAAGAAGUCACUUUGUACAUCAAUGAACUAUGUUGAGAUGUUUGAAACAUUUAGGCCUUCACAGCCGGCGCUUCCACAUCCACGCCGGAGUUAGGAUCCCUCUUCUGCAAGGGGCUGCAAGUUUUGUACACAACAGCAAUUGUAGCUGAACAAACAAUAAUCAACACACAUUUUCCGAUUGCCUCCCAAGGUCGUUCUGAAAUGCUGUAACACCACUGUAAACCACAAAGAACGUAUUGCGAAAAGCAUGUCACUUGGAAUAGAAUGACAAUGACCAUCAUAUGUGCCCGUUCAUGCGGCUUCUCUUCCCCAUUUUUGCAGUAAAACCUUCGAAGCUUCGAAACAUCUUCUGGUCUCCAUCUGCAUAGAAGAAAAAGGUGGUGGCACCACCUUGGAUGGUGGUACAAACACAGAAUGGUGAAGAGUAAAUUGAUGAUUUGGAUAUUUACUUCGAACCAUAAAUCGUGCUCGGACUUGGUUACUAGUUUGUGUUUCAAGAAUCCGGUUAGGAGAACAAGCAUGGAGGUAAAUGAAGCACAAACACAGAUGAACCACAGAAGAUGAAGCAUCUUCAAUGGCUGUCUGACCCAUGCUUUGAAAAGGUCCACUUUCUCUUUGAAGGAAGUCAUCUUGGAUUUUCCGGAGAAACAGAAAAUGCUUUAGGUGAAAUCUUCAGAAACUACUCGAGUAAAUCUAUUAUUGCCUUGAUCCUUGGUUACUUGGAAAUGUUGAGACAAAGAAAAUCUUCUUUUAAAGAGCAAUUUAAACAGUAGAAAAAAGAAUCAGAAUUGAAACUGCAGCCACAAGUCUGGUUUCUCAUUGUUGAAGAAACAAGAACACGUUCUAACAGUCUAAUUAUUUUUCAAAAAUCUGUUUGUAAUGUUCAACCCUAAAUGUCAGGGACACCACAAUCAUCUCCUCUGCUAUUUGUUUACAAUUGGUUGCGUCAUCAGUUAGAGACACCAAAAGGAUGAGAUUUACAAGUCCAGGGUGGUACACAAGUAACAAACGAAACUUCUAAAAACUUGCAGUCAAAAGCCACUGAAUUUAUAGUUGAACAAAUCAACUAAACCUCAAAAUCAUCUCUUAAACUAACAAAUUAUACAUAAUAUAUGACUAUAUGUGAAGAGAAUUUCAUGGUACCAACUACACGAGUAGCAUAAUGUCGAAAUAGAUAAUAAAAAAAAAAACACAUACAUAACAAUAAUUAACAUGACAGUGGUGUUUAUAUUGUCACCUAGUGACCAAGAAAAUCAUGGUCAAUCACCGUUGAAUGUAAAUCCAAAGGUGGAAAACGAAACAACUUAACUUUAAAAUAAUACUUCUCACCUUUAGAUUUACAUCAAACGGUGAUUGAUCAUGAUUUCCAUGAUUUGAUAGUGGAAAUAUGUUCAAAGUUUCGAUACUCUCUAAUUUACGGUCUCAUACAGCCUCAAAGUCUCAAACAGCAAGGAUAGACUGGAUGAUGACAUAAGCUUUUACCAGUCCAUGCUGUCAACUUGUGUAGGCAUGCCAAAAUUUCGAAUCAGUCUAUCUUUACGCAUGUCAAUAGACCCGUAUUAUGUAUGACUUGUAAUCUUGUAUGUAACAGAAAACUAAACUGGAAAAAAAAAAACAGAAAAAGAUUCAUAAAUAGCGAAAGAAUGGUGAAAAGAACAAUUUACCACACCAAGCAGGCAGAACAUUAAAACUCCUCGACUCUGCUUCUCAUAAGCAUUGUCUUUUGCAGUUGGUAUGCUUCCUGAAUUCAUCAACAGUGUGCGCAUCUAAGAACUUCUAAGCUUUUUCAAGUGUAUGAUUAAACCUCUAUAUCUAAUCCUUUUAUGGUCCAUGGAAAACAAGAACAGAUUAUUACUGUAUUACUUCUUGUCAUUCGCUUAAACUGUAUGUUAUUCUAAUAUAGUUCAUUGCUAACCCAACAGAAACUAUGCAAAAGUUACUAAAUCUGUAAGCAGACAAACUAAUUCUUGAGUUUUAAGUCAAAUGCAAUAGUAUUGCUCAGUGUUGGUACAGAAACAUUGAAACAAUGCUGGGUCAACAUAGGUAAUUUAAUCAGAGUUCCAAGUCAGAUAAGAAAAACAAAUUUCACCAAAAAAAGAACAACAAAAGCAAGAAAAUGAACAACGAUAUUACUUGGAAUAGAAAAGAUUGCUAACGUAGGAAUAUCUAAGCAGACAGAUUCUUCACGAACAAAGUACUGUUUAACUAUCGAUUCUCAUGUAUUAACUAUUGAAGAAACAUUUCAAAAGAAAAAAACAAAGAUGCAUCUCAACACAAAAGAUUCCUGGAAGUUUACAAAUAAAUCUACGGAAUUCAUGUACAGAUCACAAUACGAUGACAAUCUUAUGCCCAGUUUAUGGUGCUAUGUGGCUUCUCUCUGUAUCAAUGAGGGUGCAGGUGCGGUCAUAG